UAUCAUGAGAAAACAGCACAAGGGCCAUUAGCCUGACUGAAACAGACUGGGUGAAAUGGUGUCCUAUGAUAAGGAUAAAUGAGGGGAGACAGGGACAGCCUAAAGAAAGUUCUGUGGGCUGGACACAAAGCUUUUUCCAAAGGCAUUGGGAACACUUUGGACGAUGAUUUAGACACAAGAAUGCUUUCUCCAGCUGCAAUGUGAAGAACGAACUAUAAGGAAAAGAAAGAUCUGACUAAGAACCACUGACCAACUUUUACAUUCCAGGCAAAAUCUGAUAGUGCCUUGAGUUCAAAUAGUCUUGGAGGUAGAGGCUGUUUUGUACGUGGCUUAUUUCCAAAGAAGUACCUCGAUUAAGCCAAGGCUGAGGAGCUACACAGCACCAGGGAGAGCAGAACUCAAUUUGCCUGUUGCUCUCAAAGCCAAGCGGAUGUGAGUGGGAAAGCAAGUGUGGAGUGACCGUGUGAGAAAGAUUACUUUGCCUUUCUGAAGGCCUGCUGGAAUAUGGAAUAGAUUAGGAUACUCGGAAGCUGUGAAUGCUGCAGGUCAUGCCGAGAAGGUGGGAAGUAGGUGGAGAGGUCAUCUCUCUCUGAGCAAAGAAGCAGGGAAGAAAACAGUUGGAGGAGAAUGAAGACAACGGAGAAGGCUGUGAAUAAAGGCCCCAUUAAUGAUAAAGGGGCGGUGGCAGGCACCUAGCCCUCUGGCUUCCAAGGUCCACUUUGCAUGUUCACUCUGCCCAGCCCCUUUGACUGUGCUGCUGGCAAAGGGCGAGAGGACAUUACAUGCUGAGAGAUCAUUGAAAGGCGUGAAAGGAGGGGAGAUAGAAAAGGGGGAAAUGAAUUGCUUUGAAAUAUCCAGGGAACAUGACAUUGCAAUGAUCAGAGCUUGAGAGGAGACGAGAGGAGCCUGGUUGAGUAGCCAGAGGUCAAAUGACUCUGUGACAUAUCUUUAGUGCUGUAGAGGAAUGGGGAGACACCAUGAUGCAUUGGGGUACCCCAAUUCCUCUUCUCACUUCUGUGAACCUCAGUUCAAAGCUGGUUUGUAGCCCCAUCCAGCGGCAUCACCACAUCUUCUUGAAUGAUCAGUGGGGAGUGAGGAAUCUUCCAGGUAACAGGUGCUGCUCAACAACUUGACACUAUGACUGAUGAGAUAGUUCUACAGUCAUGAGUAUAUAAUUCAUGUCAUCCCUAAAGCAGAAUGAAAGCUCUAUUAAAUUCUUAUUUUUUCAAUACCUUUUUAAAAAUCCAUGAUCUUUGUCUUUGAUUUUUAGAGAGGUCAUUAUCUUUUCCAGUUUGGGAGAGUGUCCAGGUCUAGAAACCCAACCUUCUUCCAGUUACGCACUGAAAAUAUUAGUCUCCAUGGGGAUUUGACAGUGUCUUAGUCGAUCAGCUUCUAUCUGCUGCAGAGACUUGAAGUGAGUUUUAAAAUAAGCAGUGAGUUAGUUUGCUAACUGAGCUGAAAAAAAAAAGUCAGGAUUGGCAAUGUAACUUGUAGAGCCCAGUGUGAGGCCCUUGUUCCAAAAUUACUAGUCAUUUCAUGAUGGCAAGAACAGUAAGUCAGUUUAAUAUGCCACUGUUCUGAUGUAUAACCACCCUGGAACCAGGGGGACAGAGAGUUGGGAGUGACUUGGUAUGCAGGACAAGACUAUAGUCAGCCUCCUGGCUGCAUCCCAUGGGAAUUACAUGUAAGCUCCUAGACAAGUAUUUUUGUUGUUGUUUUGAGACAUUCAUUUAUGUAGCCCAGAAUGCCCUCGAACUCAUGAUCUCUCUGCCUCAGCCCCUUAUUGCUGGGGUUACAGGCAUGUGCCAACAUGUCUGGACUUAAGGAAUUUUAAAUUUUGGCCCCAAAGUUACUUCUUUCAAAAUUUCCUAUGGAGUAUAUAUUCUUGGUUGUUUUCCAACAAAAGUUUGGAAGUGAAGGAAGGCUAGUCAUUCAAAUCAGGAGACAAUUUCCAUUAACCACUGGGCACAAAUUCCACCUGAAGGUAAAUAUGUCUUCAACUUGCCAUCUUAUUUACUAUAGAAAGCCCUCCCUCUCAUCCACUCUGUGAUAGACUAGACUGGUCCUAACCUUGGCAAUGAAGUAUUUACUCUAGUGGUUAGCUAUCUGACAAAUCCUACCUAACUUACAAGGUUUAGAGAGAGAAUACUCUACCCAUGAAGGGCUUUCCAUAACUCCCCUGGGAAGUCUAAUAGGAGUGUGUGGUGGGGAUUUGAGAGUCAAGAAAGGUAUUAGGGGUUUAGAACACCCAGAGCUGACUAAAGAUUAAAAGUAAGGAGCUCUGCAAGUUCAGAGAGAGAAGACACUCAAAGUUAAAAGGAGUGUGGAAAGGGGCAGUCCAGUCACAGGCGGACAUGGCAGAGAGGGGCUGAAAGAAAUACAGCUUGGUCAGUGAUGGCUCCUGUUUCCUCUGAGAUGUAUCAGGUCUAGACAUGAAGCAGAACAGGCCAAGGGCUGGUGCUAACCAGUCUUUGGAUUGAAUAAGCAUGAUGGGAGGUGGAUGAAAGAAGGCCCUGUGGAAAGGGCCAUAAAUAGACAUAAAUUCAGCUACGGAGAUCAGAAGACCAAGUCUGUACAUUUCCUAUUUCUAGUUUUGAAGUACAAAAUAUUCAUUCCAGAAUUGUUCCAUGCUAUGGUGUAUGAUAGG